GCCAGCUUAGCAUAGUGGUUUGAGUGUUGGAUUGUGACUCUGGAGACCAAGGUUCAAUCCCCAGCUUGGCC